UUUCCGUAGGUGAACCUGCGGAAGGAUCAUUAAUGGGAAAUCAAAUCAAAUCAAAACAAAUGUUCUGUUGCACUGGGUGUGCUGUGUGGUGGUGGUGUGAGACAUGGAGAUUCAAUCAUUGGAGAUUCAAUCAUUGGAGAUUCAAUCAUUGGAGAUUCAAUCAUUGGAAUUUCAAUCAUUGGAGAUUCAAUCAUUCAAUCUCAAUCAUCGCCACACAACACAACUAUCUAUCACACUCGAUCAACAACAACACACUCACACACAACAGCAAACAACUUUUAACAAUGGAUCUCUUGGCUCUU
rnacentral:misc_RNA from 1 species